rnacentral:rRNA from 1 species
UGUAUAAUGGGUCAGCGACUUAUAUUCUGUAGCAAGGUUAACCGAAUAGGGGAGCCGAAGGGAAACCGAGUCUUAACUGGGCGUUAAGUUGCAGGGUAUAGACCCGAAACCCGGUGAUCUAGCCAUGGGCAGGUUGAAGGUUGGGUAACACUAACUGGAGGACCGAACCGACUAAUGUUGAAAAAUUAGCGGAUGACUUGUGGCUGGGGGUGAAAGGCCAAUCAAACCGGGAGAUAGCUGGUUCUCCCCGAAAGCUAUUUAGGUAGCGCCUCGUGAAUUCAUCUCCGGGGGUAGAGCACUGUUUCGGCAAGGGGGUCAUCCCGACUUACCAACCCGAUGCAAACUGCGAAUACCGGAGAAUGUUAUCACGGGAGACACACGGCGGGUGCUAACGUCCGUCGUGAAGAGGGAAACAACCCAGACCGCCAGCUAAGGUCCCAAAGUCAUGGUUAAGUGGGAAACGAUGUGGGAAGGCCCAGACAGCCAGGAUGUUGGCUUAGAAGCAGCCAUCAUUUAAAGAAAGCGUAAUAGCUCACUGGUCGAGUCGGCCUGCGCGGAAGAUGUAACGGGGCUAAACCAUGCACCGAAGCUGCGGCAGCGACGCUUAUGCGUUGUUGGGUAGGGGAGCGUUCUGUAAGCCUGUGAAGGUGUGCUGUGAGGCAUGCUGGAGGUAUCAGAAGUGCGAAUGCUGACAUAAGUAACGAUAAAGCGGGUGAAAAGCCCGCUCGCCGGAAGACCAAGGGUUCCUGUCCAACGUUAAUCGGGGCAGGGUGAGUCGACCCCUAAGGCGAGGCCGAAAGGCGUAGUCGAUGGGAAACAGGUUAAUAUUCCUGUACUUGGUGUUACUGCGAAGGGGGGACGGAGAAGGCUAUGUUGGCCGGGCGACGGUUGUCCCGGUUUAAGCGUGUAGGCUGGUUUUCCAGGCAAAUCCGGAAAAUCAAGGCUGAGGCGUGAUGACGAGGCACUACGGUGCUGAAGUAACAAAUGCCCUGCUUCCAGGAAAAGCCUCUAAGCAUCAGGUAACAUCAAAUCGUACCCCAAACCGACACAGGUGGUCAGGUAGAGAAUACCAAGGCGCUUGAGAGAACUCGGGUGAAGGAACUAGGCAAAAUGGUGCCGUAACUUCGGGAGAAGGCACGCUGAUAUGUAGGUGAAGCGACUUGCUCGUGGAGCUGAAAUCAGUCGAAGAUACCAGCUGGCUGCAACUGUUUAUUAAAAACACAGCACUGUGCAAACACGAAAGUGGACGUAUACGGUGUGACGCCUGCCCGGUGCCGGAAGGUUAAUUGAUGGGGUCAGCGCAAGCGAAGCUCUUGAUCGAAGCCCCGGUAAACGGCGGCCGUAACUAUAACGGUCCUAAGGUAGCGAAAUUCCUUGUCGGGUAAGUUCCGACCUGCACGAAUGGCGUAAUGAUGGCCAGGCUGUCUCCACCCGAGACUCAGUGAAAUUGAACUCGCUGUGAAGAUGCAGUGUACCCGCGGCAAGACGGAAAGACCCCGUGAACCUUUACUAUAGCUUGACACUGAACAUUGAGCCUUGAUGUGUAGGAUAGGUGGGAGGCUUUGAAGUGUGGACGCCAGUCUGCAUGGAGCCGACCUUGAAAUACCACCCUUUAAUGUUUGAUGUUCUAACGU